rnacentral:rRNA from 1 species
ACGUGAUCUGAGUUCAGACCGGAGUAAUCCAGGUCAGUUUCUAUCUAUAAAGAGUCUUUUCCAGUACGAAAGGACCGUAAAGACAAGGUCUAUAUAUUAACAAACCUUAUUUAUUAAAUUAUGACCUAAGCUUAAUAAUUUAGUAAACUAACAUAUUCCUCAAAAAAAGAGUA